CCUACGGGAGGCAGCAGUGGGGGAUAUUGCACAAUGGGGGAAACCCUGAUGCAGCGACGCCGCGUGGGUGAAGAAGCGCCUCGGCGCGUAAAGCCCUGUCAGCAGGGAAGAAAAUGACGGUACCUGAAGAAGAAGCCCUGGCUAACUACGUGCCAGCAGCCGCGGUAAUACGUAGGGGGCAAGCGUUAUCCGGAUGUACGGGGUGUAAAGGGGGCGCAGACGGCGAUGCAAGCCAGGAGUGAAAGCCCGGGGCCCAACCCCGGGACGGCUCUUGGAACUGCGUGGCUAGAGUGCAGGAGGGGCAGGCGGAAUUCCUGGUGUAGCGGUGAAAUGCGUAGAUAUCAGGAGGAACACCGGUGGCGAAGGCGGCCUGCUGGACGGCAACUGACGUUGAGGCGCGAAAGCGUGGGGAGCAAACAGGAUUAGAUACCCUUGUAGUC
rnacentral:rRNA from 1 species